AUUGAACGCUGGCGGAAUGCUUUACACAUGCAAGUCGAACGGCAGCACGGACUUCGGUCUGGUGGCGAGUGGCGAACGGGUGAGUAAUACAUCGGAACGUGCCCAGUCGUGGGGGAUAACGUAGCGAAAGCUACGCUAAUACCGCAUACGAUCUAAGGAUGAAAGCGGGGGAUCGCAAGACCUCGCGCGAUUGGAGCGGCCGAUGGCAGAUUAGGUAGUUGGUAGGGUAAAGGCCUACCAAGCCGACGAUCUGUAGCUGGUCUGAGAGGACGACCAGCCACACUGGGACUGAGACACGGCCCAGACUCCUACGGGAGGCAGCAGUGGGGAAUUUUGGACAAUGGACGCAAGUCUGAUCCAGCCAUUCCGCGUGCAGGAUGAAGGCCCUCGGGUUGUAAACUGCUUUUGUACAGAACGAAAAGGCUCUGGUUAAUACCAGGAGCUCAUGGCGGUACUGUAAGAAUAAGCACCGGCUAACUACGUGCCAGCAGCCGCCGUAA
rnacentral:rRNA from 1 species